rnacentral:rRNA from 1 species
AAUGAACGCUGGCGGCGCGCCUAAUACAUGCAAGUCGAGCGAGAAGACGUAGCAAUACGUUUGUAAAGCGGCGAACGGGUGAGGAAUACAUGGGUAACCUACCCUAGAGUGGGGAAUAACUAGCCGAAAGGUUAGCUAAUACCGCGUACGCUCCUUGGACUUCGGUUCAGGGAGGAAAGCGAUGCCGAGGGUAUCGCGCUCUUGGAUGGGCUCAUGUCCUAUCAGCUUGNGGUGAGGUAACGGCUCACCAAGGCUUCGACGGGUAGCUGGUCUGAGAGGACGAUCAGCCACACUGGGACUGAGACACGGGCCCAGACUCCUACGGGAGGCAGCAGUGGGGAAUAUUGGACAAUGGGCGCAAGCCUGAUCCAGCGAUGCCGCGUGUGUGAAGAAGGCCUGCGGGUUGUAAAGCACUUUCAGUA